UACGUAGGGUGCGAGCGUUGCCCGGAUUUAUUGGGCGUAAAGGGCGCGUAGGCGGCCAGCACAAGUCAGUUGUGAAAUCUCCGAGCUUAACUCGGAAAGGUCAACUGAUACUGUGCGGCUAGAGUGCGGAAGGGGCAACUGGAAUUCUUGGUGUAGCGGUGAAAUGCGUAGAUAUCAAGAGGAACACCUGCGGCGAAGGCGGGUUGCUGGGCCGACACUGACGCUGAGGCGCGAAAGCCAGGGGAGCGAACGGG
rnacentral:rRNA from 1 species